AUGCUUGAUUGCAUUUUUCCUCACUUUUCCUCCAGCUGUUUGGCAGCGAGUAGACCAUCUACGAUAAGGAAUAUGCUAGAUGGGAUGCCUCAAACCCCAAGUGAGCCAGUGAAAUUGACUUUGGUACUUGACUUCAUCAUUGGCUCAAGCUUAUCCUCUCUAUUCCUACUCUACACAGAAGCUCAUGUCCCCCAGUAGUCAGAGCACUUUCAGGGCCUUUAUCAACAAAUAUUUGAUCAACUAUUGGUGAUACAUUAAAGCUUACAGCCCUGUAGAAGAAAAUACUUGAAAGGUAAGAAAAAUAAAUAAAUAAAACCAUCAAUGUUCAGAGAAGGUCACAAGUGCUAAAUGACAUGGAGAAAGUUACAUCAAGUGUAAAGAAGAAGUGAUCUCCAACUUUCCAGGUGAAAUCACAGGCAGCCAGAACUGCCAAGGACAAAUAAAACCUGGGAAUCAUGUGAACAAGUUGUGAAGAAGGACAGGCAGAGGCCCAGAGCCUUUUACUAAUAGACUAGUUGGUUAGAGUAGGUGAUUUGAGGACACUAAGGGAUGAGUUUGAAUGGGUGAUGUAGUUGAAAACCUUGAUUCUAAGCUAAAGAGUUCAGAUCAUUUUUUGAAGGGGUAGAAAUUCUUAUUUUUAUUAAAUCUCAACUCUUGAAUACAUAUGGAAGUAUAACAUAGAGUGUCAUAUUAGUUUUAGGUAUACAAUGUAAUGAUUCAAUAAUUCUAUAUAUUACUCAGUGC
rnacentral:lncRNA from 1 species